rnacentral:rRNA from 1 species
GACGAACGCUGGCGGCGUGCUUAACACAUGCAAGUCGAACGGAAAGGCCCUGCUUUUGUGGGGUGCUCGAGUGGCGAACGGGUGAGUAACACGUGAGUAACCUGCCCUUGACUUUGGGAUAACUUCAGGAAACUGGGGCUAAUACCGGAUAGGAGCUCCUGCUGCAUGGUGGGGGUUGGAAAGUUUCGGCGGUUGGGGAUGGACUGGCGGCUUAUCAGCUUGUUGGUGGGGUAGUGGCUUACCAAGGCUUUGACGGGUAGCCGGCCUGAGAGGGUGACCGGCGACAUUGGGACUGAGAUACGGCCCAGACGGCUACGGGAGGCAGCAGUGGGGAAUAUUGCGCAAUGGGCGGAAGUCUGAUGCAGCAACGCCGCGUGCGGGAUGACGGCCUUCGGGUUGUAAACCGCUUUCGCCUGUGACGAAGCGUGAGUGACGGUAAUGGGUAAAGAAGCACCGGCUAACUACGUG